UAUUUCUAGUUUUGACUGAAGUGUUGAUGAAGUCUGGAGAUGUGUAUGUCGGAAGAGAAGGUGGAGAGGUGGAGAUCAGAUGUUCAUAUCCAGAUAAACACAUUUAUACAUCCAAGUACUUCUGCCGUGAACCCUGUAAAAAUGUUUUGAUUAAAACUGAAAAAGUUGAUCAGGUCUUCACAACUGAAAGAUACUCUUUGUUUAGUAGUGUGAAUGAACGGUUCUUUACUGUAACCAUCAGAAAGCUCAGACUCACAGACACUGGUGUUUAUUACUGUGGAAUUGAUCAAUGGUUCUAUGACAAACUGAUGAAGGUUCAUUUGACUGUCACUCCAGCUCCUGUGAGCAGACCUUCACACACCACUGAAAACACACUUAUAACAUCUAACACUCAUACAACAACACUCACAUCUACAGAGCUAAACUGAAAAGGUGAAUGUGCUGCUUCAAUCUUACUAAUACUGUUCUGGUUUUCUAUUUUUAUUUUAGGUGGAGUGCCUGUGGUUUGUGCAGUUGUUAUUGCGCUGCUGGGGUUUUGUGUUGUUGUGGCCUUAGCCUAUCUAUGCAGGAAAAGGUCA
ensembl:processed_transcript